GCACGCGUAGUUCAGCUGGAUAGAGCGUCUGACUUCGGAUCAGAAUGUCGUGGGUUCGAAUCCUACCGCGUGCG
rfam:Clostridium lentocellum DSM 5427, complete genome.